rnacentral:RNase_P_RNA from 1 species
CGACGCCGUACAGGCGAUCGCCGGUCCGGAGCCUCACGGCCGAGGACGGGAGGAAAGUCCGAGCUCCACAGAGCGCGAUGCCGGGUAACGCCCGGUGGCGGGAACGCCAAGGAAAGUGCAACAGAGAGAGACCGCCCGGCCUGCUUCGGCACGUCGGGUAAGGGUGAAACGGCGGGGUAAGAGCCCACCGCGUCCACGGUAACGGGGACGGCAGGGCAGACCCCAUCGGGAGCAAGGCCACGUAGGCGGGCAUGCCCGAUCCGCAAGGUGAGGGUGGAGGACGGCUCGUUCGAGCCCGCGGGUAGGCUGCUCGAGGUCGGCAGCAAUGACGACCCUAGAGGAAUGAUACGCCGCCGCGGCGGGGGCGACCCCGCCACGGAACAGAACUCGGCUUACGGACGACGUCGACCA